rnacentral:rRNA from 1 species
GACGAACGCUGGCGGCGUGCUUAACACAUGCAAGUCGAACGGUGAAGGGGAGCUUGCUCCCCGGAUCAGUGGAGAACGGGUGAGUAACACGUGGGCAACCUGCCCCAGACUUCGGGAUAACGCUGCGAAAGAGGGGCUAAUACCGGAUACGAACUCCUUGGGCAUCCUUGGGGUUGGAAAGUUUUUCGGUCUGGGAUGGACUCGCGGCCUUUCAGCUUGUGGGUGAGGUAAUGGCUCACCAAGGCGUCGACGGGUAGCUGGCCUGAGAGGGUGACCGGCCACACUGGGACUGAGACACGGCCCAGACUCCUACGGGAGGCAGCAGUGGGGAAUAUUGCACAAUGGGCGCAAGCCUGAUGCAGCAACGCCGCGUGCGGGAUGACGGCCUUCGGGUUGUAAACCGCUUUUAGUAAGGAAGAAGGGGCUUCGGCCUUGACGGUACUUGCAGAAAAAGGACCGGCUAACUACGUGCCAGCAGCCGCCGUAACAC